rnacentral:rRNA from 1 species
GAUGAACGCUAGCGGCAGGCUUAAUACAUGCAAGUCGAGGGGCAGCAGGGGUAGCAAUACCCGCUGGCGACCGGCAAACGGGUGCGGAACACGUACGCAAUCUACCCAAAACUGAUGAAUAGCCCUCCGAAAGGAGGAUUAAUACGUCGUAACAUUAUAGAGUGGCAUCACUUUAUGAUUAUAGCUCCGGCGGUUUUGGAUGAGCGUGCGGCUGAUUAGGUAGUUGGCAGGGUAAUGGCCUACCAAGCCCACGAUCAGUAACUGGUGUGAGAGCACGACCAGUCACACGGGCACUGAGACACGGGCCCGACUCCUACGGGAGGCAGCAGUAAGGAAUAUUGGUCAAUGGACGCAAGUCUGAACCAGCCAUGCCGCGUGAAGGAUGAAGGUCCUCUGGAUUGUAAACUUCUUUUAUAGGGGAAGAAACCCGGAAAUUCUUUUUCGGUUGACGGUACCCUGGGAAUAAGCACCGGCUAACUCCGUGCCAGCAGCCGCGGUAAUACGGAGGGUGCAAGCGUUAUCCGGAUUCACUGGGUUUAAAGGGUGCGUAGGUGGGUCUGUAAGUCAGUGGUGAAAUCUCCAAGCUUAACUUGGAAACUGCCGUUGAUACUAUAGAUCUUGAAUGCUGUGGAGGUGAGCGGAAUAUGUCAUGUAGCGGUGAAAUGCUUAGAUAUGACAUAGAACACCAAUUGCGAAGGCAGCUCACUACCCAGAUAUUGACACUGAGGCACGAAAGCGUGGGGAUCAAACAGGAUUAGAUACCCUGGUAGUCCACGCCCUAAACUAUGGAUACUCGACAUACGCGAUACACUGUGUGUGUCUGAGCGAAAG